UACGAAGGGGACUAGCGUUGUUCGGAAUCACUGGGCGUAAAGCGCACGUAGGCGGAUUUGUAAGUCAGGGUGAAAUCCCGGGGCUCAACCUCGGAACUGCCUUUGAUACUGCGAAUCUUGAGUCCGAUAGAGGUGGGUGGAAUUCCUAGUGUAGAGGUGAAAUUCGUAGAUAUUAGGAAGAACACCAGUGGCGAAGGCGGCCCACUGGACGUGUAGUGACGCUGAGGUGACGAAAGCGUGGGGAGCAAACAGG
rnacentral:rRNA from 1 species